rnacentral:rRNA from 1 species
GAACGCUGGCGGCGUGCCUAACACAUAGCAAGUCGAACGAAGCAUACGGACUGGAGAUUCGUCGAAGGACCGUAUGACUUAGUGGCGGACGGGUGAGUAAUGUAUGAGCAACCUGCCUUUCAGAGGGGGACAACAGUUGGAAACGACUGCUAAUACCGCGUAACGUAUCGUGGGGGCAUCCUCGUGAUAACCAAAGGAGCAAUCCGCUGAAAGAUGGGCUCAUAUCUGAUUAGCUUGUUGGCGGGGUAACGGCCCACCAAGGCGACGAUCAGUAGCCGGACUGAGAGGUUGAACGGCCACAUUGGGACUGAGAUACGGCCCAGACUCCUACGGGAGGCAGCAGGUGGGGAAUAUUGGGCAAUGGGCGAAAGCCUCGACCCAGCAACGCCGCGUGAAGGAAGAAGGUCUUCGGAUUGUAAACUUCUUUAUGAGGGACGAAGGACGUGACGGUACCUCAUGAAUAAGCCACGGCUAACUACGUGCCAGCAGCCGC